ACAUUUGCUUGUAGAGUGUAACUAAAAUACACUGUUUAUUAUUCAAUAAUCUGGUUUAGUAGGUUACGUUUUUCUAUCAGUGUGUCAUUCCAGAAACAUACAAAGGCACCUCAACUGCGACGGAAAAGAGUAGACGUGUCCUGUCCCUAAAGUUAGAUAUGGAAGAUGGCUUCGCUCGAAAAAAAUGGGAUUUCUACUGGUGUGGGAGUUUAAACUAUGAGGAGUACAGACUACACCGGAAGCACCGAAGGACGAGGC